rnacentral:rRNA from 1 species
UACGGGGGGGGGUAAGCGUUGUUCGGAAUUACUGGGCGUAAAGGGCUCGUAGGCGGUUUGUCGCGUCGGGAGUGAAAACCUCGGGCUUAACUCGGGGCUUGCUUUCGAUACGGGCAGACUGGAGGUAUGCAGGGGAGAACGGAAUUCCUGGUGUAGCGGUGAAAUGCGCAGAUAUCAGGAGGAACACCGGUGGCGAAGGCGGUUCUCUGGGCAUGACCUGACGCUGAGGAGCGAAAGUGUGGGGAGCGAACAGG